CUGCAAGUCGUACGAGAAAUCCUGGGCAACUGGGAAAGUAAAGUGGCGUACGGGUGAGUAACACGUGGGUAACCUGCCCGGAGGUGGGGGAUAACCCUUCGAAAGGAGGGCUAAUACCGCAUGAUAUCCCGGGGUUCUCGGACCUCGGGAUCAAAGCCGGCCCCUACACGUAAGCCGGUGCCACCGGAGGGGCCCGCGUCCCAUUAGCUAGUUGGUGAGGUAAUGGCUCACCAAGGCGACGAUGGGUAGCCGGCCUGAGAGGGUGUGCGGCCACACUGGGACUGAGAUACGGCCCAGACUCCUACGGGAGGCAGCAGUGAGGAAUAUUGCGCAAUGGCCAAAAGGUUGACGCAGCAACGCCGCGUGAGGGAUGAAGCUCCUAGGAGUGUAAACCUCUGUUAGGAGAGAAGAACAGACAGAAUACGAACAGUUUUCUGUUUGGACG
rnacentral:rRNA from 1 species